CCCCCCCCUCUCUCUCUCUCUCUCUCUCUCUCUCUCAGAAAGCCUCUUUCCCUCUCUCAUCGCCAUUGAUGCAAGCGUACCGUAGGAUCGUAGCGCACCAGUCUCUGUUGAAGUCUUCGUGCGUUCUCGCCUCUCUCGGUAUUUGCACUUGACAUUCUUACCUCCUACUGCACAUGGUAUCAUAAAGGCCGAGGCCCCUCACUUACAUUAAGGUGUUCGAGUCUUUACAGCUACAUUCAUUUUCACCUUGAAAGCAAUGUUAUUGACUAUUUUAACAAGGCACUACAAGGCUCGGGUAUAGAUCUGUCACAAGUCAGUAUCUCUGUGUAGAUUGAUCUUGGGAAACAGGCAAUUACAUGACCGUCCACUGCUGAGUUGUGUGCUUGGAGGGAGGAUUUUCUGAUCUAAGAGCUUUGUGCAGCAGUUGAGCUUGAAGGGAGGACUUACACUUCUGUUUAUGCAUAAUUGCCACUACCAUGCUCUGAUUACAGUCAAGAUGGAUUCUCAGCCAAAGCAUUUUACUGCAGUCAUAAUGCGGAUAAGGGAGCUGAAAACAACAGCUUUAAUAUUUGUGUCCGGUAAAAUGGGUUGGCUUCAAAAUGCUAUUAUGUCAAUCUCAAGUUGGACUCAAGAAGAACUUAAUUGCUAUUUGGAGGCUGCUUGCUUGUUAUGAAUACAAUGAAACAUCAUUCAUUCUUGUCAUUUCCUCUUUAUUGAAAUGAUCAAAACAGGGAAUUCCAGCUAGUGUCUAGAUUUUUUCCUGUGACAAGGAUGCACAGGCUCAGCCUGUUGCUUGGCGAAGUUUUUUCCGGUGCUCCACGAUGCAACUGCACUGGAACUACGCUGCAACAGGACUUCUGACAGUGGCACAAUCGGAUGUUGAUAAAACCAACCAGAGUUACUUUGGUGAAUUGAAGCUGAAUUACUUGACGAUUGAUUGGAGCCAUGAAGGACUUGUGCCUCUAUGUAUGAUUUUCAAGAUGGCUAUUUAAGAGUUUUCAAGUUGCUAGUAUGGAAGUCCUUCUUGAUCAGCCUGAUGCCCCAUGCCUCUGUGAAAGAUUUGGAUUUCAGACUUCUCAGACAUUCUCAUGCAGUUCUGAUGGGAAAUUUCUGGCAUCCUUGGGAAGUAGUGGUCCUUGUCGGGUUUGGGACCUAACGUCAUUGAUGGUUGUAGCCAAUUUACCACGAGAAAAUGGUGAGGUUUUCGGGUUCUGCCGUUUUUCUCAUAAUAGUGAUGAUAAUCAAACCCUAUAUGUGACUGCAAUGCAAGGCCUGUGUGGAAUCCUUGUCUCUGGGAACACUAUAACAGAUUAUGGGCAGGCGAUUGGGACCAAGGAUUCUUGGUAGGGCUGAUGAUUCUAUGGUUGUUGAUGCUAGAAGAUGCUUAUUAUGAAGACCAGGUGGAAAUGGUGAUCGAGAAGAUGCUUCAUUAAGUACACACAUGGUCGGAGAGGGUCUUUGAAUGCCCAUUAUUGCUGCCUAAUUAUAGAGGUUCUGGGUUCUUGGUAUGGUGUUAUUCUUGAUGCAUGUUUCGUGGCUAGUUUCUACUGUAAGAUCAAUGCCUCUCCAUACCAUGGGUUCUUUACCUAGUCGUUGACAGGAAGAAACGCGGCUACGAUUUGGCCUUUAUGAUCUUUUUGGAUGCAUGCUUGGGUUUCUUUGAGACAUUUUUACAAAUUAAAAUUGUGAAAAGCUCUCUUUGGGCAGCUUCAACUGCUAUGUGGAAUUUUAAAUGAACCAUAUGGAACACCACGGUCCAGCUUUGAUGAUUUUGGUUGGGGGAAGGGUCUCUGUUCGCUUUGUAAAAUGCUGCAGGUUGUUUUGCAAACUUUUGCAGGUUCGGCAGCUAUUUGGGGUAGCUCUCUUACGGUUCUUUUGUUCUCUGUCAUGCUCUCUUGUUGUGGAGAAGACUAAGAGCGUCUUGUUUCGGUAGCUGCAUGUGAUAAAAUGAUUUAUGGCAGCAACUUCAUGCUUCCCAGUCGCCUUUGUGGGUGUCUUGUGGCUAAACUUCUCUGAUGGUUGAAUUGCAGUUCCUUUUGUAUCUGUUCUCGUAAUCUCCUUGAGGAUUGAAUUUAAAAUGACAGAAAAACCCUUGUGGCAGAUAACCUCUCCCUUUUGGACAUUGGUCACCUUGGAACUUGUAUUAUGGUUCUUCAUCGUCUGUAUGAGUUACAGAUUUCACAGCUAGUGGGUCCUAAAACUUUCUAUCACUGAAGUGGUCUCUCUUUUUUCCUCCUUGUUCCUGGAAACCGAGGUGUAUUUGAUAUGUGAGAGAAUUGCCGUG